rnacentral:rRNA from 1 species
AAAAAAAUGACGGUACCUAAUAUAAGCAUCGGCUAACUCCGUGCCAGCAGCCGCGGUAAUACGGAGGAUGCAAGCGUUAUCCGGAAUCAUUGGGCGUAAAGCGUCCGUAGGUGGCAUUUCAAGUCUGCUGUCAAAGACCGAAGCUCAACUUCGGGAAGGCGGUGGAAACUGAAAAGCUAGAGUGAAGUAGGGGUAGAGGGAAUUCCUAGUGUAGCGGUGAAAUGCGUAGAGAUUAGGAAGAACACCAGUGGCGAAGGCGCUCUACUGGACUUAAACUGAC